rnacentral:rRNA from 1 species
AUUGAACGCUGGCGGCAGGCCUAACACAUGCAAGUCGAGCGGAUGAAGGGAGCUUGCUCCUGGAUUCAGCGGCGGACGGGUGAGUAAUGCCUAGGAAUCUGCCUGGUAGUGGGGGAUAACGUCCGGAAACGGGCGCUAAUACCGCAUACGUCCUGAGUGAGAAAGUGGGGGAUCUUCGGACCUCACGCUAUCAGAUGAGCCUAGGUCGGAUUAGCUAGUUGGUGGGGUAAAGGCCUACCAAGGCGACGAUCCGUAACUGGUCUGAGAGGAUGAUCAGUCACACUGGAACUGAGACACGGUCCAGACUCCUACGGGAGGCAGCAGUGGGGAAUAUUGGACAAUGGGCGAAAGCCUGAUCCAGCCAUGCCGCGUGUGUGAAGAAGGUCUUCGGAUUGUAAAGCACUUUAAGUUGGGAGGAAGGGCAGUAAGUUAAUACCUUGCUGUUUUGGCGUUACCAACAGAAUAAGCACCGGCUAACUUCGUG